rnacentral:rRNA from 1 species
UACGGAGGAUCCGAGCGUUAUCCGGAUUUAUUGGGUUUAAAGGGUGCGCAGGCGGGGGAUUAGGUCGGCGGUGAAAUAUCAGGGCUCAACCUUGAGAGUGCCGUCGAAACCGGUUUUCUUGAGUGCGGAUGAAGUAGGCGGAAUUUGUGGUGUAGCGGUGAAAUGCGUAGAUAUCACAAAGAACACCGAUUGCGGAGGCAGCUUACUAAACCGCAACUGACGCUCAUGCACGAAGGCGUGGGGAUCAAACAGG